AUACUGAAAUGCAUGGUGGGAAAUUAGUGUGUAAUUCACUUGCUGUACCUGCAACCGUAGAGUCGGAGCGCCACCCAGUAUAGACCCCUGUGGAAUUAAGGCCAGGAAAAGUUUUAAUUUUUACAAAUUUGCA
rnacentral:ncRNA from 1 species